UUUUUUUUCUUCAAACCAUUCUGCUGAGCAUAGUUCUAAUAACAUCGCAGCUCAGCUUUGAGAACACAGCCUUGUGGGAAGAGGAACAAAAGGGAAUGGGGGAUGCAGUGCUGUCACCUAGGAGGGCUCAGAGUCCCCAGAGAAGAUCUGGACUAGAGUGCAAACCUAAAGUAGAGGCAUCUGGCUUGCCCUCGAUAUUGGAGGGAGAGGGAGAGGUUGACCCUAACCCUUACUUCAGUGUGCUGCUUCUGAUUUUUUUUUUUUUUUGAGAUGGUAUCAUAGCUCAGGCUAGCUUCACUCUCACUAUUUAGCCCAGGCUUGCCUCAAACUGGAGACAUUCCACCUGCUUUAGCCUGGGAUUACAGGCAUGGGUCGCCAUGACUAGCUUUCCAUGUGCCUUUGAGUCAUCUGGUGUCUUAGUUUUCUCAUUGUGACAAAACACCUGACAAAAGGAACUUAGGAAAGGUUUUCCUAGAGAGAAUGGUGCUUACCAAGUAGACCUGACUGAUUGGCAAGUGAGCCCUGGGAUCUACCAGUCUUCAUCUCCCUAGUGCAGGGGUUACAAGUACUGGAAGACAGCCUAACUCACAUGCCUAACGUUCAUCACAGUGGAAGAGUAUCCUGUUAAGAUCACACUCCACCACUGUAUCCCUCCAGUCUACUCAAGGAUUUUCCGUCUGAAAUUGUUCCUUUUAACAAAGAUAUAUUCCUUUCAUGUAUAUGAAUGAAUGCAUGCUUUGCCUGCAUGUGUGCCUGUGUACCGUGUGCAUACAGUACCCACACAGGACAGAAGAGGGCGUCAAAUCACCAGGAACUGGAGCUAAGGAUAUUUGUGAAUUGCCAUUUGGAUGCUGGAAACUGAACCUAGGUCUUUUGCAAGAGCCCAGAAUGCUUGUUAACCACUGAGCCAUCUCUCCAGUCCCAAACAAUCCCUUUGCUAUUCUACAUGACCUCUUCCCUCUCUGUCGCUGUCCCAUCCUUUUCCCCUCUCCACCUCCUUUCUUGAUCAUCCUGACUUAGAAGCAUGCCUCAUUAUAACUCCCUGGGACUCUGUCAUUUAAUUUUGAUCAAUGCAGAUCAAUAGUGUAUGGAUUUUUUUCCCCUCCUGGGCCAACAAUGAGUGGCACAAUGGUUUUCAAGACAUUGGACAUCAAGCACCAAAGGCCAGAACUCUUGACAGCCAUAAUUGCACCAGCGUAGGAGAAAGCUUCACUCCACAGCGCAGGGAGCAGAACCUAGGCAAAUCCUAGUGGGCUCCAUCAAUGAAACAGGAAACAGUGCGGAGAGACGCAGUGAAGCAAGACUAACAUCUGCAGAUUCCUGAAAAGCUUAGCAGGGACCUGUUCAUCCACAAUGGGAGGUGUCCCAAAGCUAAGGAAGAGCACCAUGAAGGAUUAGAGGCAAUCACAGCUGGCCAGGAUGGUGCCUUUUCCUACCAGUCACCUGGGAAGCUUCAUGUUUCACAAGGCACAGGGCUAGAGUGCCCAGAGAGUUUUGCUGCUCUAGUCCAGGUGAACAGAUCUCAAAAGAAAUGCUUAAAAGGAUUCAACCGUUUCCAAGUAACUAUUCCAGAGCAAAACUGUAGAAUAUACACACAUGUACAUACACGCAUGUCGCUCAGUAAGAUGCUAUUUAUAAUUGUUAGCACUACAGUUUUAAAAUGUUGAGGGCUGGCUGGCCAGGUGGUGGUGGUGCACCCUUUCUCUGAAGUCAGCCUCAUCUGUCCUGGUCAGCGAGUUCCAGGACAGUCAAAGCUACACAGAGGAAACCUGCCUCAAAAUAAAUAAAUAAAUAAAUAAAUGUUGAGGGUUGGAGUAAUGACUCAGUGGUUAAGGGUACCCACUGGCUGUUCUUCCAGAGGAUCUUGGUUCGAUUCCUAGUACUUACACAGCAAUUCACAAGGGAUCUGAUGCCCUCUUCUGAAUCUUCAGGCACUGAAUACACAGUGCAUAUGAUGUACAGAUAUGUGCUGCACAGACAUAACAUGUAGGCAAAACAGUCAUACACACAAAAUUUUAAAAAUAUAUCAAAAUUAAGACCAGGGCUACCCAGAGAAUCCCUGUCUUGAAAAAAAAAAACCAACAGAUAAUAAGCAAAAAUUAAAAAAUUAAAAUUUUGAUGUCAAUCUUGUAAGGAAGUGGGGAAAUACAACCCAUGAUGAGAAAAAUGCAUCAAAGUGACUCAGGAUUGACAUGUGAAAACUGCAGACAAGAGGAUGGGGACUGUCACUACGACUGCACUAAGUAUUUCCAAACUUAAGUAGAGGCGUGGUCAGAAUAAAAGGAAGAUCCAAUUGCACAUCAGAGAAGACUACAACAUAUAAGCUACAGAGACACGCAUAUAAAAUUAACAGCAUUUCAGAAGAUGAAUGGACUUAAUAGCAUAACAACCAUUCAAAAUGAGGCAGCAGACCUCAUCCAGUAACUGAUGGAACCAGACACAGAGAUCCACAACCAAGAACCAGUCUGAGCUCCGGGAAUCCAGGUGAAGAGAGGGAGGAGGGAAUAGCUGAGCAAGAGAGGUCAAGAUCAUGAAGGGGACAUCUACGGAGACAGCUGAACCAAGCUCCUGGAAACUCAUCAACUCUAGACCUACAACUGUGGAAACUCCAGGGGACUGAACUAGGCCCUGCGUAUGUGGGAGACAGUUGUGAAGCUUGGACUAUCAGAGGAGCCCCUGAUAGUAGGACCACAAUACAAACCUGGUACAUGAGCUAGCUGGUUGGAGCCCCAUUCCUUAGAGUGGGUUGCCAUCCUCAGUGGAGGUAGGAGCACGAUAUAAUCCCAGUAUAUGAGCUAUCUUGUUGGAGCCCAUUCCCUCUGGUGGGAUGCCAUGCUCAGUCUUAAUGUAUGGGAGAGGGGCCAGGCCCUGUCCUAACUUAUUGUGUCAGACUAUGUUGACUCCUUAUGGGAGCCCUUACCCAUGAGGAGGAGUGGACUUGGGGUGGGCUAGAGGGGAGCUAAGGGGAAGGGGUGAGAGGGAGAACUGUAGUUGGAAUGUAAAAUAAAAUCAAAAAGUAAAAAAAUGGAAAAAUUAUAUUGAUUGAUUGCUUGCUUGCUUGCUUGAUAAGUUAGAAACAGGGUUUUAUGUAGCCCAGGCCUGCCUCAGACUGGCUAUGUAGCCAGGGAUGACUUUAAUU
ensembl:lncRNA